UACUUUAGUCAAGAUUUAUCACAACGAUAGCUAGUUUCCUGGAAAUGAGGUUGCCAAACAAACUGCAGGACUCCGGUUAAAUUUGAAUUUCAAAUAACAAAUAAUUUUUUAGUAUAAGUAGUCCAAUGUAAUAUUUCAAACAUAGUUAUUUUAAAAUUUUUCUUCGUCUGAAAUUCAAACUGAACUCAGUGUUUUGUAUUUUGAUUUGCUAAGUCUAGGAACCCCCCUCAGGAGACCUUUAAAUCUCAUCACCGUGGGUUGAUGACGGUGAUAAGCUAGCAUCCUGAAGGGGGAGUGGAGAGGAGAGCACCACCCUCCUACUUUCUAGCAGAAAGAUUCAGGCUGUCUGGACCUGAUAGGUCCUUCCUUCUGGGGCAGCCUCUGUCUUCCCCACUCUGCUCAGCUCUGAGCACUUCAAACUGACCAUUGGUUCAAACUCACCAGCACAUUGCUGAAAUUGGACUUGCUGUCCUAAAGUUGGUACUUUCCAUGACUGGGGUAAGCUGGGAUCUGACAAACCUGCCAAGCCUCGUUCUUGCCUUUAGCCCCACCAUGUUUGUUUGUCAGUAGAACUGAGCUUCUGCCUUGGUUUCUGCCUGUACUUAUGGUCCUGAACUUUAAACCAUUCAGUUGUGGUUUUGACAUCUUGCCUAGACCUUACCAUUUCCCUCUUUUCAGGGAUUCCACUCAGCCCAUGCCUAGGGUGUGUCUCCAAACCCAACACAUCACCUGGGACCACAUGCUGACGCCAUGCCUCACCAUCUUGUAGAAGAGGGGUUGCCAAACACUUUCUGUAAAGUGCCAUAAAGAAAAUAUUUUUGGCUUUGUAAACCCUACAGUCUCUGUCACAAUGACUCAAUUGUGCCAUCGGAGCAUGAACAGACAUGUGUCCCAGUAAAACUUUAUUUACAAAAACAAGUCAUGGGUCAGACUUGGCCCACAGACCAUAAUUUGCUGACCCUUGUUCUAGAAAAUCCUGUGAUCUUGCUUUUUCUGCCCAAAGGGUUCUACUUAGAUAUAUAUGCCGGCCUGUUAGCACAUGGAGCCUUUUCUAAUUGACAGGAUGCUGAAGGCUGCUCCGUGCUCCCAUCAUGGGCCAGUCCUGUUUGACAGUUUCGGUGCCCUAGUCUUGGACCUGGCAGUUCCCAGCUUUUUCUCUUUCUCUCUUCCAGCCUCGGAAGUCCCAGCAGGUCUAGAAGACGAGCACACUCAAGUGAGCCAACAACUGCUUUUGCCUGCACACUGCAGCCAGGAUCCACCUUCUUUCUUUCCAUAAACACUAUCUUAGUUCAAGGCUUAUUUGCCAAUGCUUUGGACUGGUUCUGUCUCCUGUUUGGACUUCUGCCUGAGGAAGCCUCAGCUGCCUAUCACCGCUGCCUAAUACACUUCCAACUGGAUUUGAUGCCCCGUCCUGCUCUCUCAGGAAUCCAGCGCCAUGUUGGAACAGGUCAUGCUCUUCCCACUUGGGAGCCUUAGCCCAUGCCAGAGUCGCCUCCCCUCUCCUCCCGUGGCUGUCAGCCCCUCAGAAAGCUCCACGGAGCCUGCAGCAGGCAUCCUCCCUCUGAAGAUUAAAGGCAUCAGCCUAUCCGCUCGACGGCUUAGCCCAGGGCCUGCAGAACUGAACACUCAGGUAACGAUAGUUCUUGGGGUUUUUUUUCCGAUCAUUGUUGCUCUGGUAAAUACUCUAAAACUGCAUGCCUGGGUGACUAGAUAAGUGGCAUAGGGAGGAGGAACAGUGUCAAAUCUGGGCCCUCAGGAGCUUCUAAGAGAGGAAGGUUAGAUACCAUCAGAGGAAAAAAAUCGCGGGGUUGUAAAUCCUCUUCUCUGCCUUCCAAAGAAUGUCAUUACUAUAAUUGUCACACACACACUUACCGUGUGCUUAAUGGAAGCACAGCUUGCAGUAGCAAUGUAAACUAUGCUUUGAAAAAAUGUAAGAGCACCUAAUACAUUUUUUAAAGCAGUGGCUGGACCUGUCUGAUUGAUUUUUCUAAAUAUGUUUCACCCUCACUUACAGUUCCCCAUCAUGCUUCUUUUCUACGACUUAGCAACGAGUACUUAAAACAAAGUUUGUCCCUUUUCGAUUUUCCAGUAUCCUUGCUAACAGUCUUACGUGUUGACUUACAGAGACAUGAAAAGGGGAAAAGAAGUGAAGAACACUUGGGUUGGAAUAACCUAUGAACUGGAUAUUUAGACUUUGUCCUGUUAAGAGCUGCCUUUUAACGGAGAUAAAGGCAACAAUGCGGACACUUCAGGCCCAGCAAGCCGUUAGGCUGGACUCUUCUUUGACAGAAGGUACCCUGGUUUAUGCACAAAGAUAUCCAUCACAGCAUUACUUGCAAUAUCCCAUGUCCAAGGCUGGGGCCUCCCUCAGUGAGUUACAGAACUUGAUGAAAGAUUAUAGAGCCAUUCAAAUAAUACUGGCAAAGACAUUUUAAAACACGAGGAAAGCCUUAUGUUAUAACGUUAGGUGGAUAAGGAGGCCUAUGGGGGACAUGCAUUAAGACCUGUCGUUGUACCUACUACAGCUGAGAAACGCUCACCGUAUUUCAGGCAUCAUUCUCCAGCGAGAGCAGGUGGGGCGGGCUCGGAAAGGAGUCAGGGCCGGCACGGUGCCAUUGGCCCCUUCCCUUCCUCCCAACCUAAGAGCCAGGAUUGGAAACAUACCCAAAUAUUAAUACUGUACACCUUUGCAGGCUUUUCUUCUUUGUUCCUCUGUAUUUUUCAAAUGUCCUAACACUUUUUUAAAAAUGCUUUUGUUUUCCUUUAAACUUUCCCCAGAAACUUCUAAAAGGCAGCUGCUGUGGUCUCACAUCUCCCUUCUCCCCGCAAAUGUGUAAAUAAAGAAACACCCCUUUGCCUUUCAUUCAUGGCAGGCUGAACUCGCCCUGUAAGUGGAUACUCUGACCAGACGUCUGUGGGUGGGUCGGGUGUUGUGUUUUCUGUUGUAGCUUCUUUUGGCUGAUAAACUAGCACUUAAGUGUUUCCCUUUUCCAAACCCCAAAUGACAAGUGUCUUUGUGGUGAGGUGGCAGCCCAACCUCAUCGUGAACACGAACGGUGCUGGGACUUAUUUUUGGUUUGCUGUCUAAGCAGGAGCUGGGCUGAGUGGCCAGGGCUUUUGGGGCCGAAAUGGCUGGACUCAGAGCGUGGACCUAGAAGGAGAAAGCAAGGCAAAGCAAGCAGACGUCCUGGGGAGGUCGGAGCACCUGGUCCAGGUGGGCCAGAAGGAAAGGCAGAGAUCUUCUCUUAGCCAGAACACUGUACUCCACUUUUUACACGGUUAAUUUUACCAAGGAUACUAGAAAACAGAAACACGUUGACCCCGUUCGGGUGAAUGUCACUCCAGGAAGCCUCAGGGAGCUAAUAAUAGCAAAGAGGCUGAUGCUAAGAAGCAGAAACUGUGGUAGACAUCCAUUCUACAGCCUGCUUCCUGUCCCAUCCUCCCUUCUCACAGAGCCUGAAGCAAGGGGUCUCACCUUCUGCUGGUCAAGUAGCUGGCAUGUCACCAAGCUGGGCCAAUUAACCCUGUCCAGAGAAGAGAAAUCCUGGGUGAAGGGAUACUGGGGUCCCCAGCUGAUGGCAGUCCAUUAGUUUCUCCUAUCCACGUAGCUCAGUUUCCUGUCCUGUACAUAGCCAGAUGAUUUACCUCUUUAUUUGGUUCUGUGAGCAACUCUGCUUGUAUAUACUAUGUAUGUGUGUGUGGUAUGACGUGUGUGUAUAUAUUUAUAUUUAUUGUUUUGCUUAAAUUAGCUAAAGUUGGUUUCUUUUGCUUGAAACCAAAGAACUCCCCCUAAAAUGAGAGCCCUGACAUAUUUCUCUGUACAUCUCUGCCUGGCUCUGGACAGAGGGCAAUUUAUCCCCCCCGACUCCAGUCCAACAUAGGAACUGGGAUAUGCUGGGUUUUAUGAAAGCAUUGGUGAUUUUUUCCUCCCUGAAUGUAAGCUCUUCCCUGUGUCCUAAGCAGGGGCAACCAAACAACUCCAGCCUCGACAGGACCCUCAGACAGGAGCGGGGAGUCCGCGUACUACCACUGUGGGACCUGGCUUUACUCAUCCUGGGGUUCUUGUGCUGGAAACCAGGCUCUGGUGUCAACCUCUCAGAGACUAACAACCCCAAACAGAGCGCCUCCGACUCCAUGAUAGAAACGUUGGGCGUCAGAAAGCCAUGUUCUCAGCAGUACGAGGUUCUGUCAAAAGUGGUGCAGUGAGAACACACACCCCAUCAGAUCUGGCUCCUGGAGCAGAGUUACAUGCACAGGCAGCACCGCCUGAGUGGCAGCAGGAUGCCCGUGACACUCCACCACCACCACUGCUAUAGCUGCCGUUACUUUGCACAGCACGGACAAUAUCUCCAGCCUCCACGGUGGUAUAUUUAUUCAUCAAGGCAGCUCUUACUUCCUUUGAUGCAUCUCGUAAUCCAGGAAGGCAGGAGGGGCCGGCAACAUUAGUCGCAUUUUAUGGUUGUGGAAACGGAAGCACCUGCCAGUACUCAUGUUGGAUCUUGUACUAUUAUUACUGAUGAUAACAAUGGUGCUCUUGAUGUCAAAUUAUUGGACUUUUCUCCCAAAAUUGCUUUAGAGCACAACAAAAAAAGUAAUAGUUCAUAUUUAUUGAGUGCUUGCUAUGGGCUUCAGAUUUAUUGAAGUCGAUGCAAUUGUCCUUAUUUUAAAGUUAAAGAAACUGGGGCUCAGAAAGAUGAAGUAAUCUGCCUCCGACCACAUGAUGAGUAACUGCCGGAGUCAGCAUAUGAACCCGAGCGGUCUGACUCCAAACUCAUGCACUGGACUAGAAAGCCACAGGCCUGUUAGCUCUUUUUGAAGAAAACAUCCAUUACAGCAAACUGGCCAGACCCUUAGACUUUGUCCUGUUCUAAUCUGACCCCCAUAUGUCAUCCUUUUCAGUCUGAGUAAACAUCCCAUCCACAUCCACUAGGGCCAGAAGUGGCUCUCCGCUAACACUUUCAGUUCAGAGUGAAAAGGUGGAAGGACUCACAGGAGAAGGUGUCCACGUCCAGUCCACAGGCCCAGACAGCUCAAAGGACUUGGGUAAACACCCAGCUCGAAAAUGCUAACAAAGCUCCGGGCCUGGCUGGUUACCUCCGCCCACGUGUGCCAGGCCAGUGGAAGUAGGAGCGUAGAAGACAUCAAGGAUCUAACAAAUCAAUUCACAAGGAAACCCACCUUGAUUUCCUCCUGCAGAGCGUAUCUCUACCAUUUCCGUCUCCAUGGCGCUGCAGAUGCCAAAAUGUGGCAGGAAACCCAAGAGUCUAGGCCAGCAACACUCUAUUUUCAAAGCAGUGCUUGGGGACCGAGGACGGAAGGCGGCCUGAAGACAAACAGAUUGAAAGUUCGAUAAGACUUGGUAUCAUUCCGAUCACACCCACAGAGCUUUGAAAGGUGCUCUGCUCACAUGGGCAACAGGGGCAAACUGGUGAAUUCAAGAAAGUUGGUCCUGGGCAGCUUCUUCUAUCUUUCAGUGGAAAGUCUCCUCCUGCAGGCACCCGCUGCCCUCAGCCAGCAUCCCUCACCAGGGCUGGGCUCCCAAGGGGCGGCCAUACCACCCCGUCCUCUGGCCAAGCCCCUGGGCUGUUUUUUAUUAAGAAAGGAUCUUAAACUGUAUUUCUUCCAUAGUUGUUCAUUCCUUCAAAGUAUUAGUUUGAUCAAAACAGAUCAGGUAAUUCAUGGUUUAUAUGCCUUUGGGUGAUAACGACUUAGUAAAUUAAUACUCUCAGAGAACUUUUGAAAUUCACCCCAACAAUAACUAAUGGAAUUUUCUGGCACUCUGGAGGCCGGUGUGGUAGGGAUGUCUAGUGAUUGCUUUUAUCCAGCUCUCCUCUCCAUUUACACAGGGUCACGUGACAAUGGCAUGGUGUCACAUAUGGACUGAGGCGUUUGAUUGCCAGUGGGAGAACUUCCAGCUCUUUAUCUGCUGUAAACUGUGGAGACCUUUGUUGAAAAGGGGGUGUCAUAGGAUUAAAGCAGCCUGGAUCCCUGAGGCACCAUGUGAAGGACCGGCUUCCUAGAAAGUCAGCCAGACCUACAAUGCACUUUGGGUGAAAUAGGAAUAAACUUCCUUUCUGUGAACCCACUGACAGCUUUGUGUUUUUUCUUACAGCAGCACAGUCUGGCAUGUCUUGACUGUUAGAGCUAGUGAUUUUCGAUCACCUCAAAUAGUUUGGUCCAUAGUUUGCUUCCUCUGUACUGCUAAGA